rnacentral:rRNA from 1 species
CCUACGUGAGGCAGCAGUGGGGAAUAUUGCACAAUGGGGGAAACCCUGCUGCAGCGACGCCGCGUGAGUGAAGAAGUAUUUCGGUACGUAAAGCUCUAUCAGCAGGGAAGAAACUGACGGUACCUGACUAAGAAGCCCCGUCUCACUACGUGCCAGCAGCCGCGGUAAUACGUAGGGGGCAAGCGUUAUCCGGAUUUACGGGGUGGAAAGGGAGCGUAGACGGCAUCGCAAGUCUGGAGUGAAAUCCCAGGGCGUAACCAUGGAACUGCUUUGGAAACUGUGCAGCUAGAGUGCAGGAGAGGUAAGCGGAAUUCCUAGUGUAGCGGUGAAAUGCGUAGAUAUUAGGAGGAACACCAGUGGCGAAGGCGGCUUACUGGACUGUAACUGACGUUGAGGCUCGAAAGCGUGGGGAGCAAACAGGAUUAGAUACCCUUGUAGUC